UUACAAUGAUGAGAAAGAGGGAGUAGUCAGGAGCAGAGGAAGGAAUUAAUGAAUUCAAUUCAUAGAAUUUUAAACAAUAUCCUUAUUUGCAAUCCUAUAGUUACAUAUAUGUGUGUGUGUGUGUGUGUGUGUGUGCGUGUGUGUGUGUUGUGUGUCAUAUUCCCCCCAUAUUCUUUUUAAA
rnacentral:sRNA from 1 species